CUUUGCCAGCASCCGCGGGUAAGACARAGGCCCCGAGCGUUAAUCGGAAUCACUGGGCUUAAAGGGUGCGUAGGCGGUCUCGCAAGUGUCUGUGUGAAAGCCCACUGCUCAACGGUGGAACAGCACGGCAAACUGCGAGUCUUGAGGAAUCUAGAGGCCGGUARAACGAUUGGUGGAGCGGUGGAAUGCGUARAGAUCAAUCGGAAUGCCAAAGGUGAAGACAGCNCGGCUGGGGAUUUCCURACGCUGAGGCACGAAAGCGUGGGGAGCAAACAGGAUUAGAUACCCUGGUAGUCC
rnacentral:rRNA from 1 species